rnacentral:rRNA from 1 species
CACAUGCAGUCGAGCGGUAGAGAGAAGCUUGCUUCUCUUGAGAGCGGCGGACGGGUGAGUAAUGCCUAGGAAUCUGCCUGGUAGUGGGGGAUAACGUUCGGAAACGGACGCUAAUACCGCAUACGUCCUACGGGAGAAAGCAGGGGACCUUCGGGCCUUGCGCUAUCAGAUGAGCCUAGGUCGGAUUAGCUAGUUGGUGGGGUAAUGGCUCACCAAGGCGACGAUCCGUAACUGGUCUGAGAGGAUGAUCAGUCACACUGGAACUGAGACACGGUCCAGACUCCUACGGGAGGCAGCAGUGGGGAAUAUUGGACAAUGGGCGAAAGCCUGAUCCAGCCAUGCCGCGUGUGUGAAGAAGGUCUUCGGAUUGUAAAGCACUUUAAGUUGGGAGGAAGGGCCGUUACCUAAUACGUGAUGUUUUUGACGUUACCGACAGAAUAAGCACCGGCUAACUCUGUGCCAGCAGCCGCGGUAAUACAGAGGGGUGCAAGCGUUAAUCGGAAUUACUGGGGCGUAAAGCGCGCGUAGGUGGUUUGUUAAGUUGGAUGUGAAAUCCCCGGCCUCAACCUGGGAACCUGCAUUCAAAACU